rnacentral:rRNA from 1 species
GACGAACGCUGGCGGCGUGCCUAAUACAUGCAAGUAGAACGCAGUUGCGAACGGGUAAGUAACGCGUAUGUAACUGCCUCAUAGCGGGGGAUAACUAAUGGAAACGUUAGCUAAUACCGCAUACUGUGAGAUGGAUCUGUUUGGUAUUAGCUCGUUGGUGAGGAAAAGGCUCACCAAGACGACGAUACAGAGCCGAGCUGAGAGGGUGAUCGGACACACUGGGAGUGUGACACGGCCCAGACGCCGUCGGGAGGCAACAGGUGGGAAUCUUCGGCAAAUGACGGAAGUCCUACCGUGCAAGGCCGCGUGAGUGAAGAAGGUUUUCGGGAUGUAAAGCUCGUUUGUUAGAGAAGCGUUAACUAACCAGAAAGGGACGGCUAACUACGUGCCAGCAGCCGCGGUAAUUC